GAUCAUGGCUCAGAUUGAACGCUGGCGGCAUGCCUUACACAUGCAAGUCGAACGGUAACAGGGAGCUUGCUCCGCUGACGAGUGGCGAACGGGUGAGUAAUAUAUCGGAACGUGCCCUAGAGUGGGGGAUAACGUAGGGAAACUUACGCUAAUACCGCAUACGCCCUACGGGGGAAAGCGGCGGACCGCAAGGCGUCGCGCGAUGAGAUGAACCGAUGUCCGAUUAGCUAGUUGGUGGGGUAAAAGCCUACCAAGCCGACGAUCUGUAGCUGGUCUGAGAGGACGACCAGCCACACUGGGACUGAGACACGGCCCAGACUCCUACGGGAGGCAGCAGUGGGGAAUUUUGGACAAUGGGCGCAAGCCUGAUCCAGCCAUGCCGCGUGCGGGAAGAAGGCCUUCGGGUUGUAAACCGCUUUUUGUCAGGGAAGAAAUCUUCUGGGCUAAUACCUCGGGAGGAUGACGGUACCUGAAGAAUAAGCACCGGCUAACUACGUG
rnacentral:rRNA from 1 species